AAAAGCCCAUUGGUCGCCCAAACCCCACAGCCGCACACCCCGCCUCCUUCCUCCCUCACUCGUCUCAGCCGCACGAACCCUAGCCGCCGCCCCACCCGCAUCCGUCCUCCAUCCCUGGUACGAGCUCUGCCCCGAGCUCUUCCUCCUCCGUCCUCACAUGCUCCACCCCGAGCCCCACCUCUUCCAGCCCACCCGGACUUCGCCUCGUCCAUUCGCGCAUCAGUUCAAGGGCAGGGCCAGAGAGCCGUGGCGAGUUAGAGGAAGGCAAAGGCGGAGCAGAGGAAAUCAAGAAGGUCAGGAGGCGAUGGAGGGAGCGCACGGCCGAAUGAACCCGAGCCGGCUAGCCCCCAACCCACAGCUGCCACAAUCCUCCCUCCUCACUUCCUCAUCAACACAGGCGCUCGCGCCCCUCCCCUUUCCCUCCUUCCCGCAGCCCCAAGAGCUCUGCCACCGCAUUUGACGAGAUCCACCACCUCCCUGAGGUCCUUAUCCACCCCAGGUCACGAGGAAGCCGCGAAAGGAGGAGAUCAGCUGGGUGUCACCGGCCGGAGAAGGAGGAGAGGCGCGGAUGCCAGCCAAGGAGGCAGAUCGGCUUGCCUCUACUACACCGUGAGCGUAGCCGCUGCCUCUGCACCCACCUUGCUCGGCCAUCAUGGGAGGAGGCUCACCAUCGAAGAGCAGCCGCAGGUGCCACACCAUUACAAGAGCUGCGGCCAGUAGGAGGUGAUGAUGCGUCGCCCCAUUGACAAGAGCAGGGCGGCGGAUUAGUCGAGGGUGCCUGCAUGGCCACGCCACCGCUGCAGCCCGGAGUCGCCUUGGGCGCCGCCUCGAGUGACCUCCAUCGCCGCCCCGAGUCAACUCCACCACUGCUGCCAGGAAUCCCGUCCCCAGCGAGGGAGUGAGUCAAGUGACAUACAGACACAAGAAAUAUUCAGUUAUGAGGAUUGAAGAAAUUAAUGAUCAUUCAGUCAUUGAGGAUUUGAGAAGAGCCAUCAAUGCAGUAGAGGUGUUAUUGAAGUUGUGGCUGUCAAUAGUCCUUUUAUUGAUGCUAAGUACAUGAGGGAAAGAAGAAGUCUGAAUGCGCCAACAAGUAGCGACCAAUGAGCUGUCGUCUAUAGAUUGGCUAAGGGAGGAGUUGUCUUGUGCUGCAAGGGCAUCUUGCAGAUCGAUUUCCUUGGUUUGAUGUGUCUCAGAUUCUAAUUAGUAUUUAAUUUCCUUAGUUUUAACUUAUAACCGGACAGAAAUUGUUAUUGCACCUGAAUAUUUGAUUAUGAAUCUAAGUUAUGGGAAAUAGGUGGAGUAAGAGGAAAUGAGGCGUUGUUCGAUGGGGCCUUGCCACGGUUGCCUUGAGUUUUUGCAUCAAAGCACCACUUUGUAUGGCUAGCCUUCCAUGGCUACAUCGAGGGUCCCAAUCUGCAGGCGAGCUCUUCUUUUCAUCUGCAGAUAUACCACGAAGGGAAGAUCUGCCUCACUGUGCACUUCAGGCGCGCGCACACUGGCAAUGGUAUAGGAUUGGCUUCCUGGUGGAAUCAGGUGCGUGUCGUCCAUGGUGGCCUGUCGUGGGUGUUAGUGGGCGGCUGGAGGCGGCUGUAGCAGGUCGAUUUAUCUGACUACUGAAAAUGAGCUUCAGAAUAUCUGUAGAACGUAGCCCACUUCCAGGCAAAUAUCAAUUAUGAUAAAUCCACCAUGUACCAUGAUCAUUUGAACAGUCUUGCUUAAGUUUAUGUUAGCCCUGUAUGCUAAUUUGAGGAGAUUGUUAACUUUAAGGUGCGAACAUUUAUAAAAUAAUAAUUGUACCGUUUUUUGGGAUUUUGUGAUUCCUAUGGAAUUAAGAGGUCAUCUAUUGGCCUAUCCCUAUUUGUAAUUUCAAAUAGUUAUUUUUUGGUGCACUUCUAUUUUAGAAAUGAAUUAGUAGACAAUUAUGCUUGAUGUUUGUAUAAAUACACAAGGAGGAGUGCUCAGGGGAGGACGACAGUUGUUUGUAUAAAUGCACAAGGAGGAGUGCUUAGCGGAGGACGAUAGCUUUCAGGUGUACAUGGAGGAGGUGAAGGCGACUACAGAGGAGCUUGCCGUAGCUGUCACCUGCUCCGGGAAUCCUCCUGACAGAAGCACAAUGCCAUGUCCUAGAGUUUGUUCACGUACUUCUAUCUGCCUAUAAUAUAUGCUGACAAUUAUAUGUGACUGAUUAAUUAACUAAAACUUGAGAGGUUAAGGACAAGUGUUUUCAAAUGAAGGAAUAUAGUGUACGUGCAGCUAAUUACAUACACAUAUGCAUCAUUCCAUAAUAAUUGGAAGUUUGGAUAUUAGGUAUUUUUUAAAGACCAGGGAUCCUAAUUAGCCAUUCCCAUACCAUAGUUUUCACUGUAUGUAUCUCAUGAACAUUAUCAUUAUGCUCUGUACCAAAAUUGUCACUCUAUCUCAUCAUUGUUUGGAGUAUACCUUUGCAGCUCCAUAGUUAUUAGAAUGGUUUUACUUGCACAUAAUAGCCUUGUUCAAAUAAAAUCACAAGACCUUUGUAAGCUUGCUUAGUUACUAUGGAGAAGGGCCUUCUUCCAAGGAGCUGUAGAUUUUGAAUAUGCUCCUGGUUGGACACUUUUUUCACUAUAUGUACAGAAUAGGGGUAGGGAAGAGCGCAACUUAGGUUUUGGGGCAGGCCUCACUAGCAAUUAUGACAUCCUCUUAUUUGGUUGCAGGUUACUUGCCUUCUUCUUUCAGCCCAUCUCAAGAAUUAUAGUGCAGUUUUUGUGGAGAGCCCAUGUUGGUUUGCUUGAUUUAUGUUCAAAAUGGACAAUACAAUGCUAUUUGAGUCAAGUUUGUAUAUAUUCCAAGUACUCCUUUAUUAUUUAUCAACUGAGGCAUGAUUGUUGUUGCACUUAUUACUAAAAAUAAUCCUGGUGUUAUUUUCUUUGAGAAAAGAAAUAGACGGCUCAGAUGUGUGCUUCUUAGCAUCACAUCAAAUUGAAUAAUCAAAUAGGGUUAUAUAUCAUCAUAUCUGCAUACAUAAUAUCUUCUGUAAUUAUAUACCCGUGUAGGCUCUUGUUGUUAGAUGAUGAACUUAUGUUAUUUUAUGCCAAGUAGUUAAAUUUGUGUGCACCUUCUCAUGUGUUUACUUGUUUCUGCUUUUAUAGUAUGGCUUGGUCCUGUUGUGAAAAAAGAUCUUGAUAUGUUUGACUAUUCUGUUUUUUUCUUUAUCCAAUGACCUAUUAAUGUGCUUUGAGCAUAUGACAAUUGUUUCCUCACUAUCUUAGAUUAGUAGUAAUCCUUCUUUUAUGUUUCUGCAAUUUCAGUUCCUGCCUUUUGAAAUUUCCUUUGCAUUCUGUAUCUGCACAUCCCCUCUUGUGGUCUGUUGUAAUGGUCUACUGAACAGCCAUAUCAUGCUAUGAUUGCAUCGUUGCAUGACAAUGUACCAUAUGCUCAUGCAUUUCUUUUCUUACCAAUGUUGUCCUGAUGAGUUGGCUGGCUUACAUGUGCACCCUCCGUCCUAAAAUAAGUGUCUCAACUCUGUUAUAAAGUUGUACUAGAGUUGAGACACUUAUUUUGGGGCUAAGGGAGUAGUCUGUUGUGAAGGUCUACUUGUUUUAGGUAGCAUUGCUUUCUGGAAUACGUCAUUGGAACCUGGUAACAUUCAUUGGUUAUAGUCAGCAAGACAGGAAGAACAUACUUGUGUAUGAGUUCAUGCACAACGAAAGGACUAACUUAGCUGAUGGUAAAUUUUCUCUGUGGAAUCAACAACACGCUCAUGUAUAUACACAUACGAUUCUUUCGCAGCAAAACUUUGUCCAUGCAGUUGUAUUUCAGAUCUUUAGAACUACAAGGUAGUUUCUAUAUUUGCCGAUUCAGGUUGUCUUAGGUUGCAGCUCCCCGUCCAGCUACCGUGUACCCCAUAUCCUUUGAAGAGGAUAAAUCUGAAUGAAAACUUGGAAUUACCUAAUAGGUGCAUACAUGAACUAUUGAUGAUGUGAAUAGAAACGCAUGUAGUAGCGCUGACCUUUGGCAACCUUCACGUCGUGCCUCCAAGGAAGACCAUGAGUGAUGGUUGUCGUGAUGUUGGCCUUGCAAAAAAAUAGGGCUUUGCUGACUGGUGACUGGCUAUAGUUUGUGUUUGUUGUUUACAUGUCAGUUUUUAACAAUUUGACCUAUCUUUUAAAGACAGUAUAGUUCACAAAAGGAAACUUUUUACAGAAAAUAUAUGGGUUUAUAUUAGACCAUUCUAGACCAUAUCUCUUUAAUACACAGUUUAUUAUAUUUUCUGUUUUUAAAUAUGAGAGUGCCAAUCUUACUUAGUGGCAUUGCUAUGCUUCACAAUAUACAAUAUUUUGCAUGCCUGUAUAAUUCAUAAGUGGUUUUUCAUAUUCAGGUGUUCUUAAUAUGGUGAGUGAUUGAAGGGGAGGCAUGAGGAGAGAGUAAUCCAAAGGGCGGAUGGAGCAUGUAACUUGUUGAUGUUAGUUUCCAUUUCCGGAAAGAACAAAUUUUCUAUGAUUUGAGUGUAUGUUGAUGUGUCAAAGUCAAUCAUUUGGAUUCCCAACUAGACUA